AUCAUGGCUCAGGAUGAACGCUAGCUACAGGCUUAACACAUGCAAGUCGAGGGGCAGCAUGAACUUAGCUUGCUAAGUUGAUGGCGACCGGCGCACGGGUGAGUAACACGUAUCCAACCUGCCGAUGACUCGGGGAUAGCCUUUCGAAAGAAAGAUUAAUACCCGAUGGCAUAGUUCUUCCGCAUGGUAGAACUAUUAAAGAAUUUCGGUCAUCGAUGGGGAUGCGUUCCAUUAGGUUGUUGGCGGGGUAACGGCCCACCAAGCCUUCGAUGGAUAGGGGUUCUGAGAGGAAGGUCCCCCACAUUGGAACUGAGACACGGUCCAAACUCCUACGGGAGGCAGCAGUGAGGAAUAUUGGUCAAUGGACGAGAGUCUGAACCAGCCAAGUAGCGUGAAGGAUGACUGCCCUAUGGGUUGUAAACUUCUUUUAUACGGGAAUAAAGUGAGGCAUGUGUGCCUUUUGUAUGUACCGUAUGAAUAAGGAUCGGCUAACUCCGUG
rnacentral:rRNA from 1 species